rnacentral:tRNA from 1 species
CAGAAGAUAGUUUAAUAAAAAUACUAGUUUUGGGGACUAGUGAUGAUGGGUUGACCCUUCUUUUCUGA